GCUGUGAUGGCCAAGGGGUGAAGGCGUUGGACUCCAAAUCCAAUUGGGUUUCCCUGUGCAUGUUCCAAUGCUGCCCACAGCG
rnacentral:tRNA from 1 species